AAUAACAAAGAAAGAAGAUGCGAAGAACAGAACUAACGUUUCUUUUUUUUCUUCUUUUUUUUCUUUUGAGACAGAGUCUUUCUCUGUCAUCCAGGCUAAACUGCAGUGGCAUGAUCACAGCUCACAGCCUCAACCUCCCAGGCCCAAGCAAUCCUCCUGCCUCAUCCUCCCGAGUAGCUGGGACAACAGGGGAUCACCAAUGGGGAGCUGAUAUACUAAAGCUCUCCAUGGGAAUGAAAGUUAAGAAGGGUACCAGGGAGGCCAUUGGCACACAGAGCAGUCAAUAGUAUUGAACAAGAAAAAGCUGCAUGACUUUUAGACCAGAGGAGUGAGGACAGUACUUAGAGGAGGCACACAGCCAACACGUCCAGUUAACCAGGAUAAAUGAUUUAAAAGAGCUUUGUAAAAAUGCUGAACAUAAUUUGCCAUCACCAAAUAUAGGAAUCUCUGAAGCCAACUGUCUUGCUCAUAUGAAAUGCAAUGACAAGAUCCAAAUUGUGAGAAAAGGAAUCCAACUUGGUUGGAACAGGAAAGAAACAAAAACAAAGAAUCUCUGGCCCAGAGUCAUUUCUGUUUGGAAAAAUUUCUGAAGAUUAAACUUAGGCCCUGAGUGCACCUAACAGUGCAAUCUGCAGGCUGCCAAUGCGUAGCCGUGGAACUAAAUCCAGCAGCUCAAG